UAUGACCCCUUUUGAAUGUUCCCAAUUUUACUUUUAAGCACUUUCCCCUCAUUAACAUGAGACUAGAGAGAAGAAUGGGAUCAAGUCUAGAAGCUUGAGGAUUUAGACCAAGGAUGAGGAGCCAGCAGCUGGUGGUCCGUAUGCAGCCUAUAAGGUUGCACAGAUGGCGUAGCGCUUCUCUUGUCUGACUUCCAACAUGUGAAUAAAUGCUUUCUUUACACUGCAAAAGUGAGACACCUGACAUUCCAAAGAUGCAACUUGAGGCCGGCGUUCCUUCUUGUUGAUCUCAGUACGAUGAUGGUAUCCUUUCUGAGGAGCAUGGGCCACAUAGAAGUCAGGAUGCCAGGCUGCACUUUUGUUGUCUUGGCUCGAAGUCAUCGGACGCCUGUAAGGUGAGUCAGCGUGAGAUGUGCCGGGAUCUGCCUUGCUUGCCACGCAUUUGCCCACGCUGGUGAGAUUCGGUGGAUGGAGAGCAGAUAAACGCCCACACGCACGCACGCACAAACGCAUUAUCUGGAAUUUAGCACGCCAAGUGAUGUUUAUAUAGUCACCGCAACGUUUGUGCGUCAUCAACGUAGCACACUCACUAAGUGAACGGGUCGAUUAUUUAGAUAGGGAUGUGGUCAACCAUGUUAGGUAUUUUUUAUCACACACACACACACACACACACACACCUUUUUUUCUCCCUUUGGAUCAUUUUAAGAACAGGGGGAGGAAGUGGUUUGACUUCUAAACCAUGAAUUGACACUCCAUAAACAAGGAAGAUUUAUUCCUAAGAAAAUUCUGUAAACAUUUUUAAUAGUUUAUAUUUAGAAAAUUACACUGAUUCCAUUUUUAAUGCCAGCAGUUUGAACAUUUCAUUUUUAAAUGUUGUUAUUCUAAUAUUGAUUAAUUGAAGAAAUUGUUUUUCUUCAUAUUAAUAAUGUCAGGUCUACUUUUGUAUCCAUUUUAUACACAAUAAUUCAGUCUCGAUAUAUUAUUAUUUGUUUAGAAAUAACCCAUCAUGCAUAUAAAAUGGUAGAUGAUAGAAAACAAACUCCACGUAACCAUAGCAACAAUUUCAAUGUAAAAGUGUCCUUUGCUAGAGAACAAACUCUACGUAACCAUAGCAACAACUUCAAUGCAAAAGUGACCUUUUGUCAAAAGACCUUGAAUGUACAAACAUCAACGCCAACAUGCUUGUGUUGCUUUAGCGCGUGGCCUUGACGGUAGCGUACAUCUGAAACAAAAUGGCCUCCAAACACACCCACACGUCACAAGCGAGUCACAAAGACAAACGACCCACCUUAAAGCCUUUACCGACCGUUUUAAUCAUCAGCAUCAGCAACAACAUAGAGGGGGAAGUCAAAGACGUGGGUAGGUUUUCGUGAACGUUUUGGGGGUUUGUGUGAGAGGUUUUUGUGUGUGUACGAGUUUUUUUCGUGAGUUUUUGAUGAGAGGUUUAUUGGGUGAAAAUUCUUGUUGUGAGAGUAAGACAUUUUUGGUGCCUGUGAGUUUUUGAGUAAACCUUGCCUGAAAGGUGCAGCAGUCGGCGUGAAGGUUUUAUGUGAAUGUGUGUGAUUUAUUUUCUUGUUUGAGUUUUUUUUGUGAAAAUUAGAGAUGAUUGACACAUUUGUGAGAGAGGUUUUUGUUUUAGUUUUUGUUUGGUCAAUGUGAGAUAUUUUUGAUAUGGUGUAUAUAGUGGGGUUUGACUGAAAGAUAGAACAGUAAGUUUAAAAGUUUUUUAUGUCAGUGUGAGAGGUAUGUUAUUUGUGUGAUUAUUUGUGUGAUUAUUUUAUAUUAUAAUAUAUAUAUAUAAUAUAUAUUUAUAUUUUAUAUUGUGUAUGAGAGGAUUAUUUUUGUGCAUAUGUCAGAGGCUUUUGAUGAUUUUAUGGGUACUCUGAUGAAGGCGGAAGAUUCCACCGAAACAUGUCAGGUAAAUGAACCUAAAACAAAUUUGUUUGAUAUAGAAGAACCAGAGAAGUGAUUUUAUGGGUAUUUAUUUCUGGUGAGAGUUUGUGGUGAGUGCAAGGGUUCUAGUGAAAGUGACACGCUUGUUGGAAUUUUAUGGUGUGAGAGUUUUUUGUUAAAUUUUUUCGGGUGCGAGUUUUAUUGGUUGUGAGAGUUUUGUGUGUGAGAGUUUAUUACCCAAUGUGAGAGGUAAAUGUUAUUUUUGUCACAUCAUUGCCUGGUUCACUUUUAUUUAAUGUUGUCGGCGGCACUCCCACAGUGGUCGCGGCUUAUUGCAACAAUAACAAAAUCAGCGCCUCUCAACGCUCCUCUCUCAGGACGUUUGGCAAAAAUGUCAACAUUUUUGACAUUCUUGCGGACGCUUUGAGGGCUCACAAGGUUGACUGGACAAAGGAAUCUGCAGCCACACACCCCAACAACACUUUGUGGAGGAAUGAAUCUCAACCAAUGAAGUCACACACAAACAUUGUUUCAAUCUCAGGGCAGGCAACCCAUUUGCUGUUACUGUAUCAGUCCUUCUAGCUGUUCAUGAGAAUUAAGAAAUUCUACACAAAGGUCCGCUGAGAAAUGAUAUCAUCUCAUCAUUACAGGCUAUCGUAAUUUUCUGCAUGCAAACUAGUUAUAGCAAAAUUGGACCAAAGACAGCGUUACCUCAUUUGUGCAUGCCUUCAAUCCGAGCAUGUUUAGUUGUAUAUACAGCACACAUGUUUAUUAGGCAAGAAGAUCAUUUUCAUAAGCCUUCCCAUCAGUAGAGGUUUCUUUCCAAAACAUCCCUCUGAUCAGGUCGGUGGGUGAGCUGGAGCCGAAGCCAGCUGACUUCCCGAACGAGGCGGACAUCCUGGACUCGUUACCAGGCUCAUUUUGACAACCAUUAAUUCACACUAUAUACAAUGGAAAAUGACACAUUUGUGGAACCUAACAUACAUAUUUUUUGGAAUGUGAGAAGAAGCCAUUAAGUCUGAAAACAAGGGCCUGUACCAAGAUUCAAACCCAGCAGCUCUUGAUGCAAGCUACGCUCAGGAUUCAUCCGUUCUUUCUUAAUCACUGCAUCGUGAUAAACAUCUGAUUCCCGCACCAGAAUUAAAAUAAAAUAUUUUUUUAAUGAUCUGAACGUCUUUUCGAAGCAGCAUUUUACAGGUUGGCUCACUUUUGGGAAAUGAGGGCUCUCUAACCUUUUUUUUUCCCUCCAAAUAAUCAAUGUCUCCAUUUUCUAAAAAGGAGCCCUCCAAGCUUCUAUGUCUCAAAAUUGAUAUCCUUAUUUUGUUUCCUCUCCUGUGUCGCGAAAUCUAUAUUUUGUUAGUGGGACAGCACUAACACGACUCCCCGCUGAAUUGACUCAUUUUCAUCCUCUGUUCGGAUUUUAUUGCUUUGUGACCAACGGCACACGUGGUCAGCUUGUUGUUUUGUGUUUUUUGUUAUUGGUGCAGGUUUAGAGUUACACUCACAGUCAUCUGAAAGCAUCAGUGUAAUAUAACGAAGCAAACACCAGUUUAUAUUGGAAUGGAAGUGAAGUGUGUCUGGUUUUAGGGAGAAAAGGCAGAUUUCCAUGAGUUUUAUGGCAGUUUUAUGUCAUGUACUGUACAUCUACUGCAAUUUCACAUUGGAUUGCUGGUUUGAAAUUUACUUUUAAUAUUAUUAUUAUUUGUAAAUAAAAAAAAAAUUGUUAAAACUUGUCUGGUGUUUUGUUCCUUGCUUUUAUAUUUGCCAAUUGAAACGUAAAAAUUUGACAUUUGGUUAACUGCUUUAAAUGACAAUAGUAUGUGUUUUACGUUGUUAUCCAAUAUAUCUACUGCAAUUUUACAUUGGAUCGCUGGUUUGAAAUUUACUUUUAAUAUUAUUAUUAUUUGUAAAUAAACAUUUAUGUUAAAACUUGUCUGGUGUUUUAUUCCUUGUUUUUAUAUUUGCCAAUUAAAACAUAUAAAUCAUACAAUUG